GGGGCAGUGCCGAGAGAGCGGUGGAGAGCCGGUGCUGACAGCGGCCAGAGGCUGGACUGAGGGAGGUGGAGACACUCGGAAGGCGGCUCCGGGCUCCUCCGCGGAGCGUGGUUAUUCUGGUGAGGAUACCGGGCCAGGGGAUGCUGCGGGCUUUGGCUGCGGGGCUAGCCGCCGCGGAGUUCGACUGCGCGGCUCCGACGCUAAGCCCAACCCUGGGAGGAGAGGAAGAGCACCGAGAGGAAGACAGCUGCUGCGGGGGAAAGCAUCGCGCGCCGUGGAGUUGCGGGACUGGCGCGGAGCGGGUUCUCCGGGUCCCGCGCGCUGCACAGCGCAGACAAUAAAGUAGCAAGGCGACAGCCCCGCUCGCUCGAGGAAGGAGGAGGCUGAGCAGGAGUUGAGGAGAAACCCAGAAGACAGAAUGUGGGGGAGGAAAAGAUGACAUUGGUACAGGUCCGACAGAACCCAAGGACCCUUCCUGUGAGAACAGACUGAGGGCGAGAGAAGCCAUUCGUCCAAGGUAAGCGCUCAGUUCCAUGACUACCAAAGCCUUGCCUGAGCUGUGAGCAUGCUCUGAGGUGUCCAACAGGGAGAGAGCAAACCGCACACUACCACAACCAUCCACACAUCCGCAUUGCCGCU
ensembl:lncRNA